UACGUAGGGGGCAAGCGUUGUCCGGAUUUAUUGGGCGUAAAGAGCUCGUAGGCGGUCUGUUGCGUCCGCUGUGAAAACCCGGGGCUUAACCCUGGGCUGGCAGUGGAUACGGACAGACUAGAGGUAGGUAGGGGAGAAUGGAAUUCCCGGUGUAGCGGUGAAAUGCGCAGAUAUCGGGAAGAACACCCGUGGCGAAGGCGGUUCUCUGGGACGGUACUGACGCUGAGACGCGAAAGCGUGGGGAGCGAACAGG
rnacentral:rRNA from 1 species